rnacentral:rRNA from 1 species
GUACACGCUGUGACUAGCAUAUCAAUAAGCGGAGGAAAAGAAACUAACAAGGGUUCCCUCAGUAACGGCGAGUGAAGCGGGAAGAGCUCAAAUUUGAAAUCUUGAAAGGUCACCUUUCACGAAUUGUAGUUUAAAGAAGUGUUUUCUGUUACGAUCGUAAUAUAAGUUCUUUGGAAUAGGACACCACAGAGGGUGAGAAUCCCGUCUAUGAUUGCGAUUUGUAGCUUUGUGAUACACUUUCAAGGAGUCGGGUUGUUUGGGAAUGCAGCCCAAAACGGGAGGUAAAUUUCUUCUAAGGCUAAAUAUUGGCGAGAGACCGAUAGCGAACAAGUACCGUGAGGGAAAGAUGAAAAGAACUUUGAAAAGAGAGUUAAAUAGUACGUGAAAUUGUCAAAAGGGAAGCGUUUAACACCAGUGUUGUUUUCUGAAAAUCAACCUCUGUUAGCUUUAUGCAUGUUUGUUUAGACCUAAUCAGCUAUCUUUCAUGUUCUAUUGUUUGCAGUGGUGCACUUUUCAGUUUACAGGUCAACAUCAGUUUUUUUUACCGUAAAAAAGUUAAAGAAAGGUAGCUCAUGGCUCCGGUCGUGAGUGUUAUAGUCUUUUUCCUAUGCGGUAGGAGAGACUGAGGUCUGCAGUGUAGGCUAUUUGGCUAGAUACUCAGGUGCUAUGUGAUACCAUUUCAUAAACAACUUGUUGAUUAUGUUUUGUCUAUUGCAUACUCGCUUGUACUAUCAUACCUACGCUUAGGAUGUUGAGUAGCGACAUACGCAC